rnacentral:lncRNA from 1 species
AUGGGCAUAAUUUUGAUUUCAACUUCCAGGACACUGAAGCUUAAAGACUUACCUUAAAGACUUUGUUAUUGUUUUAGUCACCAAGUCAUGUCCAAUUUUUUUUAAAAAUUGAACUUGAAGAUGUAUAUUGGGUUCUAUUUUUGGUGGAGAAAAGGUCACAUAUGUUAUUUAGCACAAUCUUGUGAAAUACACAAAGUGAUACUGGGGAGGAGCAUUUUCUCCUCCUAGUCCAUUUCUGAGGACUAAAUCGUGAACUGCUCCACUGGAGGAAGCCUUCCUGCAGUGGGUGGGCACCAAGUCUAUCGUUCAUUAAUUCUCUCCUUUCAGCAACUCCCCAUUUUCUUUCAGUUCCUUCACGAUGUCAGUCCUCCAACAAGCUCCUGCUUCACAUACAGCUGGGGGUACGUUGGCCAAUUGGAGUAAGCUUUUAAUCCUUGCUGAACUUCUUCAUCCUCCAAUAUAUCAAAUGUCUCAUAUUCAACCCUUUCCUCUAACUUGGGGGCUUUGGGGCAAAUCGUAUCUAGUUCUUUGAUGUUUCUAGCUC